rnacentral:rRNA from 1 species
GGGACACGUGGUAUCCUGUCUGAAUAUGGGGGGACCAUCCUCCAAGGCUAAAUACUCCUGACUGACCGAUAGUGAACCAGUACCGUGAGGGAAAGGCGAAAAGAACCCCGGCGAGGGGAGUGAAAAAGAACCUGAAACCGUGUACGUACAAGCAGUGGGAGCACAGAGCAAUCUGUGUGACUGCGUACCUUUUGUAUAAUGGGUCAGCGACUUAUAUUCUGUAGCAAGGUUAACCGAAUAGGGGAGCCGAAGGGAAACCGAGUCUUAACUGGGCGUUAAGUUGCAGGGUAUAGACCCGAAACCCGGUGAUCUAGCCAUGGGCAGGUUGAAGGUUGGGUAACACUAACUGGAGGACCGAACCGACUAAUGUUGAAAAAUUAGCGGAUGACUUGUGGCUGGGGGUGAAAGGCCAAUCAAACCGGGAGAUAGCUGGUUCUCCCCGAAAGCUAUUUAGGUAGCGCCUCGUGAAUUCAUCUCCGGGGGUAGAGCACUGUUUCGGCAAGGGGGUCAUCCCGACUUACCAACCCGAUGCAAACUGCGAAUACCGGAGAAUGUUAUCACGGGAGACACACGGCGGGUGCUAACGUCCGUCGUGAAGAGGGAAACAACCCAGACCGCCAGCUAAGGUCCCAAAGUCAUGGUUAAGUGGGAAACGAUGUGGGAAGGCCCAGACAGCCAGGAUGUUGGCUUAGAAGCAGCCAUCAUUUAAAGAAAGCGUAAUAGCUCACUGGUCGAGUCGGCCUGCGCGGAAGAUGUAACGGGGCUAAACCAUGCACCGAAGCUGCGGCAGCGACGCUUAUGCGUUGUUGGGUAGGGGAGCGUUCUGUAAGCCUGUGAAGGUGUGCUGUGAGGCAUGCUGGAGGUAUCAGAAGUGCGAAUGCUGACAUAAGUAACGAUAAAGCGGGUGAAAAGCCCGCUCGCCGGAAGACCAAGGGUUCCUGUCCAACGUUAAUCGGGGCAGGGUGAGUCGACCCCUAAGGCGAGGCCGAAAGGCGUAGUCGAUGGGAAACAGGUUAAUAUUCCUGUACUUGGUGUUACUGCGAAGGGGGGACGGAGAAGGCUAUGUUGGCCGGGCGACGGUUGUCCCGGUUUAAGCGUGUAGGCUGGUUUUCCAGGCAAAUCCGGAAAAUCAAGGCUGAGGCGUGAUGACGAGGCACUACGGUGCUGAAGCAACAAAUGCCCUGCUUCCAGGAAAAGCCUCUAAGCAUCAGGUAACAUCAAAUCGUACCCCAAACCGACACAGGUGGUCAGGUAGAGAAUACCAAGGCGCUUGAGAGAACUCGGGUGAAGGAACUAGGCAAAAUGGUGCCGUAACUUCGGGAGAAGGCACGCUGAUAUGUAGGUGAAGUCCCUCGCGGAUGGAGCUGAAAUCAGUCGAAGAUACCAGCUGGCUGCAACUGUUUAUUAAAAACACAGCACUGUGCAAACACGAAAGUGGACGUAUACGGUGUGACGCCUGCCCGGUGCCGGAAGGUUAAUUGAUGGGGUCAGCGCAAGCGAAGCUCUUGAUCGAAGCCCCGGUAAACGGCGGCCGUAACUAUAACGGUCCUAAGGUAGCGAAAUUCCUUGUCGGGUAAGUUCCGACCU